UACGUAGGGGACUAGCGUUGUCCGGAAUCAUUGGGCGUAAAGAGCGUGUAGGCGGCCCGGUAAGUCCGCUGUAAAAGUCAAAGGCUCAACCUUUGAAUGUCAGUGGAUACUGCCGGGCUAGAGUCCGGAAGAGGCGAGUGGAACUCCUGGUGUAGCGGUGGAAUGCGCAGAUAUCGGGAGGAACACCAAUGGCGAAGGCAGCUCGCUGGGACGGUACUGACGCUGAGACGCGAAAGCGUGGGGAGCAAACAGG
rnacentral:rRNA from 1 species